UUUCCGUAGGUGAACCUGCGGAAGGAUCAUUAUUGGAUUUUGAAACUUCAGGCUGCUGCUGGCUCUCCUCGGAGGGCAUGUGCACGCUUGUUGUCCAUUAUUUCUCCCACUGUGCACAAAUUGUAGACCUUUCAGUAGGCCUAUGUUGUUUUUCACAAUCUCUGAAUGUAAUAGAAUGGUUUUGAAUCUUGGGAAAUACAAUACAACUUUCAGCAACGGAUCUCUUGGCUCUCGCAUCGAUAAAGAACGCAGC
rnacentral:misc_RNA from 1 species